UUAUUAUUAUUUUAUUAUGGGCUAUUACAUAAAUUCCAAGAAAAUAUGGGGAAAAACAACAAAUACAAAGAAAAUAAAUUACUUAGGUUGGUCAACUAUUUGUGGGGUUGACUUCCACUCGCAUCGUCUUCUUCCUUGGUUGCAAACGAAAUCGAAGAGUUGCGUCCAUGGAUUCUUCUGGAACUGAGGAAGAGUAUGAUUCUGCAGAAUCGAAGUUACUUGAAGAGUUCAUGUGUAUCCCCAACAAUCCAACAUUGACAAAGCUUGGGUUUUUCAAGUCUGAUUCUGAUUUAGGUAGUGAAGGCUCUACAGUUCCAGGCUUCUAAGUGAUCCGUGGCUAUCAGAUGAACAUACUCUUGUAUUGUGUUCCUUUUGAUGCAGCUGUCAAGUAAUACUUGCUGUAAAUUUGAUGAGCUACAACACAUUUUACAGGAGAUUUGUAAUUAUAGAAAAUGUUCUGCUGUCACUAAGUAAUGAUGUAACUAUAGAAAAUGUUCUGCUGUCACUAAGUAAUGAUGUAACUAUCAAGAGAAUUGCAGAGGGGAAGUGUCGCGGGUCAGCCCUAGUGAUUUAAAUCAUUCAUGGAACAUCUUGGCAUUAGAUGGUGAUGAUAUUGUUGCUGUGUGUAGUAGUCCAGUGAAUCUUCCUGAAGAUCUUACAGAAGGGGCCAAGAAACCCAUUGAAGCUAUAUAUGUAUCAUGUUCUAAGAGCGAGAAAUGUGAUCCUCUAGUUGUUGUUAUUCAUGGAGGCCCUCAUUCUCUUUCUCCAACCAGCUUCUCCAACAACCUGGCUUAUCUCUCCUCGAUUGGAAACAGUCUUCUGAUUGUAAAUUACAGGGGUUCGUUAGGAUUUGGUGAGGAUGCUUUGCAGUCUCUUCCUGGGAAAGUUGGUUCUCAAGUAUGUAUGCAACCUGCAGUUUCAUUUUUCUUCUUCUAUCUAUCCGUCUAUCUCUUCCUCAUGGAUCUGAAAACUGCCUAAUUUCCUCAUGGACAUGAAAGAUGUGCUCACAGCUGUUGAUUACGCCAUUGACAUGGGAUUUUCAGAUGCAUCAAGAAUAUCACUAUUAGGUGGUUCUCAUGGUGGAUUUCUGACAACUCACUUGAUUGGCCAAUUUCAUGUGUUAGUCUCCAGCAAUGUAAUACAUGCGAGCAUUGAAGAAGAAAGGAGUCCAGAUUAAAGUUUUAGUAUUCCCCAACGAUAAUCAUCCCCUUGAUAGACCACAGAUGACAGACCAAUUUUGAAAAGCUUUCUAAACAUCGGUUACUGGUUCAAGAAGUACAUGUAAGCUAAGAAGAAGCGAGCUUCCUUCGAAUGUGUCUACAUUGCUUGAGAUGUUAAAAGAGAUCCUCUCUAGGAUUGGAUAUUUGUGUAACGAAGUUUGGAGGUUAAAUGUGGAGUAGAAAAACAGAAUUGCAGUAUCUGUUUUUCAUGGUUUUUUAUGUGCAUAUGAUAAAAGUUUGGGAAUA